AGAACGAACGCUGGCGGCAUGCCUAACACAUGCAAGUCGAACGUGAUCCAUGACUUCGGUUGUGGUGAAAGUGGCAAACGGGUGAGUAACGCGUGGGAAUCUGCCCAGAGGUAGGGAAUAACCGCGGGAAACUGCGGCUAAUACCCUAUGUGCCCUACGGGGCAAAGAUUUAUCGCCUUUGGAGGAGCCCGCGUCGGAUUAGGUAGUUGGUAGGGUAACGGCCUACCAAGCCUACGAUCCGUAGCUGGUCUGAGAGGAUGAUCAGCCACACUGGGACUGAGAUACGGCCCAGACUCCUACGGGAGGCAGCAGUGGGGAAUAUUGGACAAUGGGGGCAACCCUGAUCCAGCAAUGCCGCGUGAGUGAUGAAGGCCUUCGGGUUGUAAAGCUCUUUCGGCGGGAAGAUGAUGACGGUACCCGCAGAAGAACGCCCGGCUAACUUCGCGCCAGCAGCCGC
rnacentral:rRNA from 1 species